UUAACUAAUCCUUCCCGCGUCCUAAUAUGACUAGCUUCGCUAUUAGUCUCUCUCUCUCCUUUAUAUGCCCCUAAUAUCUAUAUUCGUAUAAAUGCAACAGAGUAUUGUUGGCGCAAGGACGCGCUACAAGAGAGUAAAAUCUGAUUGUAGCUUACUUUUUGCUCAGUUAGACUAAGACUACUUUUAAUUGAUUUGACAUUGCUUUGCUUGUCACUUGAUCUAUUAAGCUUGUGCAGCUGUUUGGUUUGAACUCUCCUAGUAAAAAAGGAAGAGAGAGAGAGAGAGAGAGAGAGAGCAAAAGAUAACUACAUAUUUUGCUUUUAAUGAACUUGAUACAAUCUCGUGCCUCAUCGCUCAGCUAUGGAUAGUUACAGACGAACAUGUUGUUCCAAUCGUUGAGGAGCUUCGGAGACGCCUACCACCAGCUAGUGUUCUUCAGCAAGGGCAGGGUGAAGGGAAGGAGAACUUAACUAGCCAAAAUGAUGCAGAGGUUCGUGAGGAGGAUUGCGGAUUACAUCGUCGCGCUUAUCUAUUAAGGAUCUGCGGGGGGCACCACUUCUUAUAUUGGCAAACAAGCAGGAUCUACCAGGAUCUAUCUCAGCUGAAGAUGUGGCAAGGUACUUGGAUCCUAAGGAGUUGGACGAGAGGUUAUACAUGUUUCAAGCUGUAUCUGCAUAUGAUGGGUGAGUAAAAACAACCUCACUUAAAGAAAAGCAAACCAUUCUGCGUACGAGCAAGUUAUCUUGAUGUAGGAUACGACAUCUAUAUGUCCCUGAGAUCUUACUCUCAUUUCAUUGUAAACUCGAUCUCUUAUGGUGAUCUUGCUCUCGAUCGUCCAUAAACUUGACGAGUUGCACACAUGACGGGGAUAAAAUUCGGCAUCGACUGGUUGGUGGAGGUCAUGGAAAGAAGCAAGCGAACAGAAAUAUUAAGAGUACGGGCAGGUGCAGCGGGACAUGUUUAGCACUUCCUCUCUAUUUGGUCUCAAAGAACUUCUAGAGAAAAAGAUAUAGGUGAGUACAUACUGUUUGGUCACUUAGAAUUGGCAUUCCUUGCUGUAUGCAUUUUAUUUGAGCCUGGGAUCGAUUGAUACCAUGAUUCUUGUUGUUCUCUGACGAUCCAAUUCCUACUUACUGUUGAAAAUUUUCAUCUGCAACUCUUUUCUUUUUUUUUUUGUCUUUUUUCCAACAAUCAGGUGAUCCUUAAAUCAGUUCACCUUUAUACUUUGGCUUGUAUUGUACUUUUACAUUGAUACAUGUUGGUAGGUAUUUUAUAUAUACGGUAAAAAGUCAAUUAUGAUGCAAA